rnacentral:rRNA from 2 species
GAGCUCGUAGGCGGUUUGUCGCGUCUGCUGUGAAAUCCCGACGCUCAACCUCGGGCCUGCAGGGGGUACGGGCAGACUAGAGUGCGGGAGGGGAGAUAGGAAUUCCUGGUGUAGCGGUGGAAUGCGCAGAUAUCAGGAGGAACACCGAUGGCGAAGGCAGAUCUCUGGGCCGUAACUGACGCUGAGGAGCGAAAGGGUGGGGAGCAAACAGGCUUAGAUACCCUGGUAGUCCACCCCGUAAACGUUGGGAACUAGUUGUGGGGACCAUUCCACGGUUUCCGUGACGCAGCUAACGCAUUAAGUUCCCCGCCUGGGGAGUACGGCCGCAAGGCUAAAACUCAAAGGAAUUGACGGGGACCCGCACAAGCGGCGGAGCAUGCGGAUUAAUUCGAUGCAACGCGAAGAACCUUACCAAGGCUUGACAUAUACGAGAACGGGCCAGAAAUGGUCAACUCUUUGGACACUCGUAAACAGGUGGUGCAUGGUUGUCGUCAGCUCGUGUCGUGAAAUGUUGGGUUAAGUCCCGCAACGAGCGCAACCCUCGUUCUAUGUUGCCAGCACGUAUUGGUGGGAACUCAUGGGAUACUGCCGGGGUCAACUCGGAGGAAGGUGGGGGAUGACGUCAAAUCAUCAUGCCCCUUAUGUCUUGGGGCUUCACGCAUGCUACAAUGGGCCGGUACAAAGGGGCUGCAAUACCG